UCCAGGGGUAACAUCAUACUGGAUUUGGAAGUUUUAGUGGGGUCAAUGAUGAGAAGCAAGGUGAUGACAAACCUUGAUGAAAAGAGAGCAAAGCAUGAAGUGUGAGGUCAAGAGCAGAACACAAUAGACUGAGAUGUCGGGAGCCUGAAUGGGAAGAGGAAAGAGGGUAUGAUACCUCCAACUGACAAAUUAUUUUUAAUUGACUUAUUUAUGAAAUACUUAUUGUCUCCUCUAUA
rnacentral:lncRNA from 1 species